GACAGAGGGUGCAAACGUUGUUCGGAAUUACUGGGCGUAAAGCGUGCGUAGGUGGUUUGUUAAGUCUGUUGUGAAAGCCCCGGGCUCAACCUGGGAAUGGCAAUGGAUACUGGCAGGCUAGAGUGCGGUAGAGGGUAGUGGAAUUCCCGGUGUAGCGGUGAAAUGCGUAGAGAUCGGGAGGAACACCAGUGGCGAAGGCGGCUACCUGGACCAGCACUGACACUGAGGCACGAAAGCGUGGGGAGCAAACAGG
rnacentral:rRNA from 1 species